UUUGAAAAUCCUGGAGGAAUCUAGUGAUUCAAUAUCCCUUUCAUUUGGCGGCACUGGCAAAGCUGUUCUGCUUGUCAAGCCAUUUCGUCUUGAUGUCUAUGAUGAAGACCAACUAGUCCUCUCUGUGAAUGCAAAAGGCUUGCUGUACCAUCACCUGCACUAUUCGUCGAUGCUUCCGAAAUUAAUAAAUUUCAUGAUUGAAUCUAUCAAUUUGAAAAUCCUGGAGGAAUCUAGUGAUUCAAUAUCCCUUUCAUUUGGCGGCACUGGCAAAGCUGUUCUGCUUGUCAAGCCAUUUCGUCUUGAUGUCUAUGAUGAAGACCAACUAGUCCUCUCUGUGAAUGCAAAAGGCUUGCUGUACCAUCACCUGCACUAUUCGUCGAUGCUUCCGAAAUUAAUAAAUUUCAUGAUUGAAUCUAUCAAGUUCAAAGGAUGGUCAGUGACUACAGUUGGGAAUGAGGUUUUCAGUUCUAAUACUAUUUCCUCCAGUAGUUCCAUGUUAUUACCUCAUUAUCCUGGUACCGUGUCCACAAAGCAAAAAGGAUGGAGUUCUUUAACUGUGUCUCCUUCUUCCUAUGGGCCUUGAUCUUCUAAUGAGAGAGAAGCUUCUGUGAUAGCUUUACGUCUUGACACAGCUGCUCCAGCACCAACGUCAUCUUGUAAAACGGGAGAUUUGGGCCACCCGCCAACUGAAGGAGAUUGAAACAGGACCAAUGAACAGGAGUCCAAAAAACGGCCUCGAAUCCAGUUUCGCUUCAUAUAGUCCAUUAAUGUCUCCAGUAUUGGUGGCACCGAUGUUCGUAAGGAGUCAAACACCGAAGAUAGGCGAGACAAAGCAGACGAAAAACGAAGUCACGAACAGGAUUGGGUCCUUUUUUGUUGUACUCGGUCGACAGGUUAAAAUCGCGGAUUUUCUUCAUUAUUGCCUGGCACCAAUGGAAAUUACAUCCCAAGUGGAAGCAAGAAGGAAACAGUUUUCGGACUGCGACAAAAACUGCGCGUUCAAAAUCUGUCACAAUCCGUUCAACUCUGGGAAGGGGCAUGAUUUCCUGAAUAAGUUUUUGGAACACCGCUAUAUAGUCAAUAGCUCUUCUUCGAGACAUGCAACAGAAAAGAAGCGGCACUUGCUUUAAAUCUCCUUUCUCGUUCUUUAUUAUUCCGUUGAUGGAGAGUAACUAGUGGAAUGUCGCAUCUAGGAACCACGUCUUGCAGUCCUCCAACUGUCUCUUCAUUACUUGUGUGAAAAACAGAAGAUGGCGAGCUUUAUUUGUGCCAUGCCCAGCGAAGACCUCUCAUUGAAAAAAGUCUGGAGUGAAGAACUCUACGUUGAUCUCAAAAAAUGGCUCGUCUUUCCUAGGAUUAGGAGGCAUAGAUUUGGAUCUCAAAUAUCUGCAAUGAGAAAAAGCAUUACUUUAACCGCCUAGUCGCAUUUUCUACAUCCGGCAUAUCUCUCCCUGCCAACUCCUUGUUCUUCUUCAAUUCGUCAAAAA